rnacentral:lncRNA from 10 species
CAUCUAUAGUCAUUUCAUUUCAGUUCAAUUCAUUCUCUCACUCUCUCUCUUUUUUUUUCUACUUGUUUGUUUGGCCUUUGGAGAUGGGGAACAAGGAGUAAGAGGACUCAUUACCCACAGCUAGUGACUUGGGUUAGAAGUGAAAGCACUUCUGCUGGGCCCUGACUUAUUUAUUUAUUUUUGGCCACAGAGCCACAAGGCUCGGUCCCCAGUGAGCCGCCCGAGGACAUCUUGUGGCACCAUCUGUUCGCCCCCACCCACCCUCACCAACUGCCAGGCUCCGAUUGUUGUUGGUGGUGGUGGUGUGUUUUUUUUUUUGUUUUUUUUUUUUAAGUUUUUGUUGAUUUUAUAAAUUCUGUAGCUCUGUGUUUUUUAGACUCGGCUUGCUCGUGUCAACGCAAAACCAGGACAAGCAGAAUAAACAAAGAGAUGCUGGCAGAAGGCUGGGUGUGUCGCCUCAGGUCUACAGAUGUGCUGGGGCCACACUGAGGAAGGCCCUCGUGUGCAUGCAGGGCGCUGGCCGGAGCGCCUUAGGACGCAUCUGAAAACUUCUCAUUGCCUCAGGGUUUAAAAUAGCCACACUUCCUGCUCCUCGGAGAGGGUAUGCACAGAAUGUGGGUGACUCACCGUCGGUGGUUUUCGAUGUGUCUGUCAUAAGGAGGUAUCAUCAAAAGCCCGGCCUGUUUCAGAUGUUAUUUUUUUCCACCCUCAGCCAUGCGGUGCUGGGAGAGCAGAAUGCCUAAACCCAGUGUUUGUUUUGAGCGCAGAAAGUGAAGACCAAAUCAAUUGUGCCGCAGCAAGUAAAAACUGAAUGCGUGAGGGGGAAAAAACCUGCAAACAGUGUGAAGACUGAGUUUCAAGGUUCUUGUUUUCAAAAAGUUUAAUUAUAUUUCAACUAAAGCCAAACUGUCAAAACAUGGGAGAGUGAUCUGCCUGCUUUGAAAAUGCAUUAGCCUUCUUAUGUAAAAGCCAAUAAUUGAUAUCCAAGAGGAAACCAGAGCUGUGGGGGUCGGAGGAAGAAGGAAGACAGCCUCUUAGAACUGCUCAAACGACACUUCCCUAUCAACUACGUGCAAAGCUUUAGAUCCAGGUUUGUGAAGUGGGAAAUUGGAGAGGGGAACAAAGGCAAAGCUAAAACCCUCUGUGAAUGGCGAAGGUUUACAAUAUCAGGCCUGGUUUACGAGACAUGUGGGGCCAGGGCACUGUGAAUUAGAAUUUACAUAAGCGAGAACCUGGAAGAGAUCCUCAAAAUUCUCAACAACAGCUUUGUAAAUAACAGCAGGCUGUGCCUUCUUCCCCCUGAGAAAUGCUGGGGUGUGUCUGGGCUGCCCCCAGGGCCGGGCUAAUGCCUGGGCCCUCUCUUUGCUUCCAGCCCAGCUGGUUUUCAGGUUAUCUGGUUGUUGUUUUUUUUUUUUUCCAGACUCCACUCAGCCACUUCCUCCAAAAAUGGACCGUCGGUGGUUAAGUCUUUGCCCUCUUCAUCUCAGUUCCCAUUCCUGCCUCUCCUUCAGUAAUCUCCUAGAACUUUCUAGUUUCUAGCACAGAGAUUCUUAAUCGUGUUCUUUUGAUGGCUGAGAAGUAUGUGUAUUCUUAAACCACUCUCAGAUUAAAUUAAGCUUGCACUACAUAAAAAAUAUUGAUGGAAGCCAUAUAACACAUAUUUGGGAUAGAGCUAGAGCAGGCAUCGAACAGAUCAUACCAGUUGGAAUACGGUAUCAAAGAGCUGGGAAUUCCCGGCCUACAGCCUGGGUCCGGGAAGGCAGCCGCCAUUUUCUUCCUUCUUGGGUCAAGCCACUAGCUUCUGGGAGGACCAGCCUCCUCCAGCGUCUCUGUCAUUUCCCCUUGAUUGCUGAUCUUUGAAAACAAGCCCAGGUACCUAUCAUAUGAAUGCUGCUAGGCUUUAGAACCCUUUCUUCAUCUACCCUGGUGACAUGAGACAGCUAUCUUUCUCCCAGUGUGGCUGAUCCCCACAAAUAUACAUUUCUUGUAGCCCAGUGUCGGGUAGAAUGGACUUUCUGGUCUAUGGUCUAGGACUCUCUGUUGACCUUGGAAAAGAGUUGCCAGAUAAAAUACCGGAUGCCUAGUGAAAUGAGAAUUUCGGAUAAACAACACAUCCCUUUUUUAGUGCAAAUAUACCUUCAAUGUUAUAAUAAAAAGCAUGUCCCAUGCAAUAUUUAGAGCAUACUUACACUAAACAAUUAUAUGUUGUUUAUCUGAAGUUCACAUCUCACUGUGCAUGCUGCAUUUUUCUUUGCUAAAUCUGACAGCCCUUCUGGAGCCUCUUGCGUUCCGAAUGAAUGUGGGUUCCACGAGCCAUGAACGAGAGUGAGUUCUAAAGGGAACGGGAGCCAGAUUGAGGCUGUGUUCUCCUUGUAAGGUUCUCGUUGGUGCAACCCAUCGUGCCAGUCGUUCUCAUUCCUGCUCCAUGUCUGGGGUGCUCCGUUCACACCUCUGUCAGCGUGCUGGUGAUCACUGCCACAGCUCUAGACCUAAGAGAGCCAUGACAAUAGUUCUCAGCUUUUUGGGCUGACGCUAUAUUUGCUCAUCUGGGGGCCUGGCACACAGCAGGUGCUCAAUAUAUACAUAAGCAGAGCUGGUGGCAUAGGAAGCAGAAAGCUGGCACCAGGCUUCCUCAGGCCAUGUCCAGACAGCAGAGCCAGCCUUUUGACGACCUCCAAACGUCUGGGAAGCCAGCGGAAGCCACCGCACAGCUCACACACAUAAUGAUAGCUUUCUCCUUUCUUAUCCCAGACGGUUUGGAUGCUUAAAAAAAUUGCUUGGGGGAAUCAGCAGAGGGUGAGGGAAGCUCGGAAACCAGCCGCGAAGGAAAACAGGAAAGAAGCGGCUCUAAUUAAAAGCAGCCAGCUCCCAGCUCCCUCUGCAGGGCUAGGGGUCCUGCUGAGAAGGGGAGGCUGUCCUCCUCGCCUGCUGGCGCAGGGGGCAGGCGGCCUGCACAGACCCUGCAGACGAGCCCGGGGGCUCUACAAAGAGGAGGGUCAGGGUUUGGUCAAGCUCUCUCCACAAGACGCCCUUGCCCUCACACCUCUCCUAAGUUCCUUCCUUCCCCACCCAGGCUCGGUGCUCGGGUCCACAGCGUGCAUCAUCUGAGGGGAUCUGCAGAGCCACCUUCCGUUUCUUUCAUCACAGAGAGAAGAGCCUCCUUUCAAGUUCUCUAACACUUGCUCUCAGCACACAGCAUUUAUUGUUGAGCGCUGUCGUUGGCCACUGCAUUUCCAAGAUAUUUAUGCAACAAUAUAUACAUUAGGACACAGCCGCUCUGUGAGAUAAGUCAGUAGUGCCCCGUUAAUUUUAUAAAUCCAAGAGAAGGCCCAGAGACGGUGAACAAUUGGGCCAUGGUCACACAGCAAGCUGCGCAUUUGUAUAAUACAUGCGUGGUAGGCGCAAUUGAGGCACUGGAGAGACAAAGAUGAAAAAGACACUGUUCCCGGUAAAAUGGUAAGGAAUGCAGACACAUCUUGAACCAACAGGAAUACAGUGGGAAAAGAAAAGAGAUGCUGUAUGAGAUAAUUAAUCGCAUGCAGAGGAAGAAGGGAGUAGUUUUGCUAGAGAGCGGGGGUGUCAGGGAGCAUGGCUAGGACAUAGUGGCGAGGUUCCAGGUCAAGCAGCCUGUCAGUGCUGAGGUUAGGCCUCCGAGUAAUGGCAAAGAGACAUCAGACAGAUGGUGCUGGUCAGAAGGGCCAGCUGGCCUGGGGGGCAUGUGGUAGGGAGAGAGGAGCAAAGGUUACUGCCCAGAACACCUGAGUCCAGUGUUGCCUCUGGCAUUCACAACAUUUGGACAAGUGAUCUUAAACUCUCUGGGCCCACACCUGAGUUUCUCAGCUGAAACUGACUGGGACUGGAUUUGAUCCUGUAAGAACACUGUUAGCGCUAACAUUCCAGGAUUCAUCAUGAAGCCGUGAGCCCUCGACCAUGGUCCAUUGCAUGGAUUCAAACUUAGGCUACUUCAGGCCCAGCAUCGUCCGUGGAGACGAGCAUUCAAUGACUUACUGAUAUUUACUUUGCACCUAUUAUGUACUUGGCACUGUGCUGAGCCUAGGGCCCCAGUAGUGCGGAAACAGACACUGGGUGCACUGGCAGGGACUGGAGAAAACCAGCUGCAGACAAUAUUCAUCCCUGCACCAAGUCCUUCAUGGUCUCUGCACACUUGCUCACCAUCACUUCUGCUCCACGAGUGAGCACAAAGCGAUUUCUGGGUAAUUUCAGACACACAGCUUCAGCAGGUUCGCACUUUGAUCUUAGCAAAGUUGCAUUCUGCUGCUCUGGCACGCUCGGCUCCUCCUCAGGGCGUGGGAGUCAACGUUUAAGUAGAUCAGAGUAAGCGGUACCCUGCUGAAGAGGUUUUUCCAAAGCCUGUGGUCAGUCACUGAGGGGCAACAUAAGGAGGGGCAGGUUCCCCCCCCAACAGACUCACCCACCAGCCAGCCAGCUCACUGCCUAUGGGUGGGCGAGGUCUCUCUCCCUUGAAAAUGUCUGUAGCACCCAGAAGAGGCCCUGUUCAAGGCUGUUGACCAAGACAGAAGGGAAAUCAGGGAUCGUGUCUGCAGCCGAAGAAAGAAGAUGCAGGCGAUAGAGGAGGUGGAGAAGGAGUAGCUGCCCCCUCUUUCCUACCUGAUCAUCAGAGGUAAAGAAUUCCAGUGCAUAAUUUCAUCCCCAUUCCUCCCUCAUAAUACAUAGAUUUCCAGCCUCCACCAUUUCUCCAUCACUCCGUUCCCUACUUCCCACCUCCCCUCCAUAUCACAGGUUCACAUGGGUGACUCAGAAGUCAUAUCCACAUCGUCUGGGUCUCAGAAUCCUCUCUGUGCUGACAUCGGAAUAUCUACGGUGCAGUUUCCUGACAUACUGUUUGCCCCAGCCUUGCUCCAGUCAGUCACGAAGACUGGGUUUGAAGGUUGCAGACCAGAGUAUUAGCACACUGAAGAAUUAUUCCUGACACACAAAACCUUACCCUGAUCACCUCUGAGAGGUUGUUGACCCCAGGAAUGGCCAGAGUAUUAUGUGUUCUUAAAACGGAAUAUCAGUUAGUUGUCCCAAAGAGGAAAGAAAAACCCAUACAUGAGGAAGGGUGGCCCCAGGGUAGCGGAAGGUCCUGGGACCCUCCACUGUAGUGAGGGCGGCUGCUGGAGCCAGGCCACAUCCAAUUCUCCUGGGGCCCCUGUGCACAGUCUCUCAAUUCUGAAGGGUGCUUCAAAGCAGGUUCCACUGGGUCUGGAUUACUGGGGAUCCCAAUGGCUUCCUGCCCUACCCCACCUCCUGCUCCCUCCAGACAGCCCUCAACAGCUCUCAGCCUGCACUGGGCUCUUCCCUGGAGUCUAGUUUCAGGAAGACAUGAAUUUGAAAUCUGCAUGACCCCUUGGAUUAGUUACUUAAAACCUCAACUUCUCAUCUGUGAACUGGGGAUAAGAGUACUACCUAUCCAGUGGUUGUGCUGGUAAACAUUGAACAAUAGCUCUCGAAUAAUGAAACCAACCAAUCAACGAAAAGAAACCUCUGAUUUCAUAGCACUUGCCAAUUUCCGUGGUGUACGUACCUCCACCAUGGCCAAUUUCAAGCUGUUGCCAUGAUGUCACUGGAUGUGGAGCU